GAUGAACGCUAGCGGCAGGCUUAAUACAUGCAAGUCGAGGGACAGCACAGGUAGCAAUACUGGGUGGUAACCGGCAAACGGGUGCGGAACACGUACACAACCUUCCUUUAAGUGGGGGAUAGCCCAGAGAAAUUUGGAUUAAUACCCCGUAAUAUAGUUGAAUGGCAUCAUUUGAUUAUUAUAGCUACGGCGCUUAAUGAUGGGUGUGCGGCUGAUUAGAUAGUUGGCGGGGUAACGGCCCACCAAGUCUAAGAUCAGUAGCUGAUGUGAGAGCAAGAUCAGCCACACGGGCACUGAGACACGGGCCCCACUCCUACGGGAGGCAGCAGUAAGGAAUAUUGGGCAAUGGACGCAAAUCUGAACCAGCCAUGCCGCGUGAAGGAUUAAGGUCCUCUGGAUUGUAAACUUCUUUGAUUUGGGACGAAAAAGGGCCUUUCUAGGUCAACUGACGGUACCAGAUGAAUAAGCACCGGCUAACUCCGUGCCAGCAGCCGCGGUAAAAC
rnacentral:rRNA from 1 species